rnacentral:misc_RNA from 1 species
AAAGAAGUAGUGUUAAUUAUUGAUUUGGAUAGGUCCUAACAAAUGCAAGUUAAUGGGCCAAGCGCGUUCCAAGAUAAAAACACUAUUGAAAUAGAUAGGGCAGAUAUCCACGACCUUGUUCGAAGAGUGUACGGUACUGGCAAGUAAGUUGUGUAGGUUGGUCCAUUAUCACCUUUAUUGGAUGAAAGAGCCUAAAUUUCCCCGUUCCCUUGAACCACUGCUUAGUAGUGACAAUUAUUGGGACACGGUACUUGAUGCUUUGGCAUCCAGAUAGGCAUUUCUGCGGCUAUAACAACUUGCUUUCUUUCUCCUCCCAAAAGUUGUAUGGA